rnacentral:lncRNA from 1 species
AGCUCCUACGGGAGCCGAACUUCUGCCCUGAACUCCUAUUGCAGGUAGACCUUAUCCGAACUCCUACAAGGGCCGGACUCUGAGCUUCUACUGCAAGCGAUCUACUCCGAGCUUCUACUGCAAGCGAUCUACUCCGAGCUUCUACUGCAGGCUUCGAUUGAGCUUCCUCGACAAAUGAUCCCCAUUCAGACUUCUACGGAGAUCGGACUCCGACCGAACUUCUGUAGUGGACAGAUUCCGGACGAACUCCUACGAUGCAUGGACUCCAGCAACCGGACCCCUCCAGC